rnacentral:lncRNA from 1 species
CCAAAUUUCCUGGAGGACCCCCCAAGCGCCUCUACGCCAUACGUGUCAGCUGGAGGGGGCCCCCCUUCAAACACUUCAGCUGCAGAAAAUGUUCCAAUCGGGGAUGAGGUUGCUCAUACCUCUCCGAUUCUGAUCACCGAAUCCCCGAUCCCGUCGCCACGCCAGGAAGCAAACACUGAAGAACCUGCUAAGGAAGGUGGCGACGAGAACCCACAACCGGCCCACCUGGUGCCUCUCCAAGCCGC